AUGGACAGCCUUGUCUAUGGACAAGGGUCAUCCGGCAGUGGUUACAUGAUGGGCCUACCCCCUGGGCGCGACUAUGCUUCAGGGAAGAGCUUGCUGCAUGCAUCUUCAGAGUCUGAUUACCGAGAUAGCAUCUUACCUCGUGUACAUCCAAGCAUCCCCAUGGUUGAUGAGCCAACAAGAGACAGGGUUGGUUAUCGCCGCGAACUGGAUCUAAGAGAUGAGGAGCAUAGAAGGGGUCUUUUCUGGGAAAGAGAGAAGGAAAGGGAAUGGGAACGCGAACAAGAGCUACAAUACCAUGAAAUGGAAAGAAAGCAAGACAGGGAGCGGGAGCACGAAUGUCUAAGAGAGCGUGAAAGGGAAAGGGGACGCGAACAAGAAAGAGUACGUCUUCGCGAGCGCCGGGAGAAUGAGAGGGAGCGGGAUAGGAAGCAUGUGGCUAUUCCAAGGCGGGAGCACACUCCUCCAAGGACACCCAGUGAAAGGCGGCAUUCUUCUUCUGUUAGAUCUGAGAAGCCUUUGCGGCGGCUUUCGCCUCGACGUGAUGUCCUGCAUAGGCCUCGUUCACCUGUUAAACAACUAAAGAGAAAAUAUAUUUGCAAGGUCUUUCCGUUUCGCUUGGUGGAUGCUGAGAGGGACUACUUAUCUUUGACAAAGCGAUAUCCUAGACUAGUUAUUUCUCCAGAUGUUUCUAAGGUUGUCUUGAACUGGCCAAAAGGAAACCUUAAUCUUUCAAUGCGCACACCAGUCAGUUUGGAGCAUGACAUCCAUGAAGUGGAUGAUAAGGCCGACGAAAGAACAGUUUUAUCUUCAGAGAAAUCUUACAGCACCGGCACUCCAGACACUGUUUGGAAUGUAAAGGUUCUCUUGAUGAGUGGUAUGAGCAACGGUGCCUUCGCUGAUAUAUGUUCAUUGAGAAGUGCCGAGGAACGACUAGCGCACUGGAACAAUGUCUUGAAAUUUGCUGUAUUUAAGAAGGAUCAUGCACUUACUACAAUUGGAGGUCCUUGGAGUGCAGCAAUAGAUGGUGGAGAUCCAUUGAUUGACUCUUCGUGCUUGGUGCGAACUGCUAUCAGAUGCACUAAAGAACUGGUUCAGAUUGAUCUAUCUAAUUGCACACACUGGAAUCAUUUCCUCGAGGUCCAUUACAACAGAAUUGGCAAAGAUGGACUCUUUAGUCAUAAAGAGAUUACCGUACUGUUUGUGCCAAACCUGUCAGAAUGCAUACCUUCAGUAGAGUUAUGGAAGAAAACCUGGAUUACAUACAGAAAUUCAAAAGUAGACAGGGAGAAACUGGCUAUAAAGAGUGAAAAUGCCCCUUGUGAUACAAAGGAACAGAAGGAAGGAGCAGAUGAUGGUCAUAUGAGGGAGGGGGAUAUUUGCAAGGAUGUUACCAAAAUUGAGAAAGUUGAUACUAAAAUGGAUGAGCAGGGCAAAGAUGGGGAGGCAAAGUUUGCUGAGAAUAAAGGGAAACCACUUGAUAAUGCUGUGGAACAUAAUAAGAAGGGUGGGGACAUUCAAGGAAAUACCUCAGGCGACGCCUCCGUUCACCUUGCAGUUGAGGAUAAAAAGCCCACACGAAGGAAAGUAAUAAAGAAGGUUAUCAGAAAAGUUGUUCGUGAAAAGCCAACUGCUGAAACUUCAAUUGACAAAUCAUCUCAGGUGGACAAGGCUGUGGUGGCAGAAACCACAAACAAAACUGUGGAAGGGCAGGUUGAACAAACAACUGAGGAUGUUAGUAAAGAAAAGGAUGGAACUGGCAUUAAUCUGCAACCUGAGACCAAUAAAACUGGGAAGAAGAAAGUAAUUCGAAGGAUUAUUAAAAGAAAAGUUCCUGCUUCAGGAUCCAAGUUGAUUACACCUGCUGUACCUGCAGAAACAAGUAAACAAGGAGGGGAAGUUCAACAAGAAAAGAAUGAUGAAAGCUUGACUGAUGCUGGAAAUUCUCAGAUUAAGCUGGCAGAAAGGUUGAACAUUGCUGCUGAAAAGAUUUCAAAUCCGAAGAAAGAAGAAAUGGCAGAUAAGGCACAUCUAUGUACUGAGGAUAAAAAAUCAAAUGGAGAUAAGGUUAGUGAACAGGAAGGUGUGAAUGGAGAUGUAAAUAAAGAGGGGGGAAAUGGAACGAAAGAUAAGGCAAAGGAUGGUAAAGAAAAAAAGAUUAGGGACCUGAAGAAGGAUCCAAAGCAAAAGUCACUUAAUAAUGACACCAAAGAGAAGAAGAAAUCUGACGAACCUCCUAAAUAUCCAGGAUUCAUUCUGCAGACAAAAAAGAGUAAAGAGUCUAAACUCCGUCCAAUAUCCCUUUCAUUGGAUGGCCUACUAGACUAUACAACCAAUGACACAGAGGAAUCUGUUUUUGAGCUUUCACUGUUUGUUGAGUCAUUCAGUGAAAUGCUUCAAUUCAGAAUGGGCUGCAUUAUCCUGUCUUUUCUUGAGGUUUUUUUACGUGUUAAUAUCUGCCCACAUGGGUCUUGA
rnacentral:rRNA from 1 species